CCAACCCUAGUCGCCCCCUCUUUUUCCCCUAGUGUGCAGCCGCCCCCUUCCCCUCUCUUCUCCCUUGUGUUGGCCGCCGCUCCCCCUCCCCAUCUCCAUUUCCCUCAAGUUCUUGCAGCCCCCACAACAACCCUAGCCCCCCCCCUCUUCCCCUCCCAAGGUGCAGCCCCUUUCCCGCAUGGAUCCACGUUGCGUUGGUGCAAGUCUCCAAUUGGAUUUUGGUGGAAGGAAGGAGGGAGAAAAGGGGGAGAAUUCAAG
rnacentral:lncRNA from 7 species